AUUUUCUGCCACCGAAUACAUUAGCAUGGGAUAAUGGAAUAGGACCCUGUCCUCCUAUUUUCAGUUGGUUUUGGCAGCGCGAGGACUAGGGUAAUGAUUAAUAGGGAUAGUUGGGGGCAUUAAUAUUUAAUUGUCAGAGGUGAAAUUCUUGGAUUUAUGAAAGAUUAACUUCUGCGAAAGCAUCUGCCAAGGAUGUUUUCAUUAAUCAAGAACGAAAGUUAGGGGAUCGAAGACGAUCAGAUACCGUCGUAGUCUUAACCAUAAACGAUGCCGACCAGCGAUUAGGAGACGUUGAAUACAAAACACCACCACCGGCGCGGUCGUCCUUGGCGUUCGUGUUCACGCACGAGCGCGAGGGCGGUUUAGCCCGGUGGCACCGGUGAAUGACUCCCCUAGC
rnacentral:rRNA from 1 species